rnacentral:misc_RNA from 1 species
UUAUGUUGUUUGGAUAGAUUAUUAGAACAGCAGAUAAAUGCAAUUUCUUAUUUAACAAAAAAGAGAAGGUCUAUUAUAUUGUAGAGGGAUAUUAAAAUAUUCAAUUAUAAAUUAUACCAAUUUCUCUCAUUUCUCAUCAUUUCUCACUAAUUUAGAGAGAAAUGUUAUGGUUUAAUUAUAAAGAAGUUGAGAAAUGAAAUACCUCCUCAUUUCUCUUACUUUCUCUCCUCUAUUUGAUGUAGUUGAGAAAUGAAAUACCUCCUCAUUUCUCUUACUUUCUCUCCUCUAUUUGAUGU